rnacentral:tRNA from 1 species
GGUUCCAUAGUGUAACGGUUAACACAUCUGCUUUACAUGCAGAAGGUCCUGGGUUUGUGCCCCAGUGGAGCCA